CUCCGCUCUAUUCUCUACUUUCCUCCUCUUAUAAUGAGUAAGCUCUCCUUGCUCCUUCCUACCUUUAACCUUUUUUUGGAUCCUGUCUCUUUUUUAUACACAAACGUUUCUCCUGCAAUUAUUCAUUCCCUUUGCAUAUACCUCAUGAAUCUUUCCCUCUUUACAGGAUUGUUUUCAUUAGAAACAAACAGGAAUGUCUUUCAUCUUUACAUGCCUCUCUGGAGAGCAAAUCUCUCUCCAGUUACUCCCUCAUUUCUCUUGCCAAGGGAUAAAAAUAGUUUCGGUAACUCGAGGAGAGGUUAAACGCUUUAUUCACCUGAUGCAUAUCAGGGAGCCUCUGAAGACGAGCAUGUGUAUACAUCUCAAUGGAGGAGGUGGUUUGGAAAAGAAAUCAUGACAACUAGAGGACACUUCCAGAUGGUUUCAUUUGUUCUGAGCUUGGAGCUAAAACAUCGAGGGAUACAUAGAAUAAACGAGAUUUGAAAAUUUGCUCACUCACAAAUAGCUCAUAAACUCCACUCAAAUUUUAGACAUGGGAAGGAUUUUUACAGAAUGAACACAUAAUCAAAGACGAAGAGAAUGAAAGAAGAUGUGAGUCACACGAUUUCAGAAGCUAGAAAAGCAGGAGGCCGAAAGGAUCUUGAGUCAACAGGCUUAACAACCUGAUCUCUAAGCCUGUAGGGUAAAACGGCAGGAAGCUACCAAUUAAAUACCACACAACAAUCAAACACACAAAAGUUGAUAGCACUUGUAACUUUGGAAGUGGCAAUAAAACUGGGACUAAAAAGAGAAAGAUUGAUCAAAAGAUUGCUUAAGACGAAAUUAAGAAGAAAUGUCCAGAUCUUCUUUCACACUGAGCAGCGAAGUCAUGCCAGCAGAAAUCUAAAGAUCUAGCUUCU
rnacentral:lncRNA from 1 species